AACGCGAAGGUCGGGAGUUCGAUCCUCCCUGUGACCACGUCUUUUACUUCUCAGACGAUUUCGAUUAAUUUUA
rnacentral:tRNA from 1 species